rnacentral:rRNA from 1 species
GUGAGGAAUCUUCCACAAUGGGCGAAAGCCUGAUGGAGCAACGCCGCGUGAAGGAUGAAGGUCUUCGGAUUGUAAACUUCUUUUAUGAGUGAAGAAUAUGACGGUAACUCAUGAAUAAGCACCGGCUAACUACGUGCCAGCAGCCGCGGUCAUACGUAGGGUGCAAGCAUUAUCCGGAGUGACUGGGCGUAAAGAGUUGCGUAGGCGGUUAUGUAAGAGAAUAGUGAAACCUGGUGGCUCAACCACACAGACUAUUAUUCGAACUGCAUAACGAGAGAAUGGUAGAGGUAACUGGAAUUUCUUGUGUAGGAGUGAAAUCCGUAGAUAUAAGAAGGAACACCAAUGGCGUAGGCAGGUUACUGGGCCAUUUCUGACGCUAAGGCACGAAAGCGUGGGGAGCGAACCGGAUUAGAAACCCGUGUAGUCC